rnacentral:lncRNA from 1 species
AAUUGCAAAAUGUAACCUUGCUGAACAUUUACAGCUGUGCCUUGUUCUUUGUCUAAUCAUCAUAGGUAUUAUUGCAGAAGCACAGGGAGAGCUACCAAAGUGUUUCCCAUAGGACCGAAGGAAAGACUGAAGGGCAAAUGUCAUCUUAGAACUUACAAAGGUUUGUCACUGUGGUGUUCUCCUUGGGAGAAUGUCCUUGAAGAGUCUGUAGUUGCCGAUUGCAAAUGUCACCAUUUUUCGGAGGUGCCCAGGGAGCCCCACAAAGGGCGUUUGGUGAACAACCUUUUAAGGGCUGCGGGCUGAUUCUCAGAGGGAGAACAUU